AACCUGUCCAUCAAGGAACUUGGCCAUCUAGUUUGGGUGGAUUUCUUAGUUCCCACAUUAUAUUUUUUGUUGUUUCAUUUUUUUAUAAUUUUUAGCCAAGCUCUGUCGAAUUCAUCGAUUUGUUAGAUUUAUCUAUCCAGAUUGGAUUUCUAGAUGGCCACCUCAACGAGUUGAUUGGGUGUUUUUUAUUAAAAUGGAAAAGCAUAUGAUGAGACUACUUAUCGGUACAAAGUGGUGAGUUAAUUUUGACUAUUGGAUGUUAAAAUUUGGUAGUUGCAUUUAGUAGAAUUUUCUUGAAUUUUGUGAUUGCAUUUAUUCCAUUGAAUUGAAUUUUAAUUCUGACUUUAUAUCAAAAGUUAAGAGCCCCUUGUACAAAAUUUAGUUGAUUUCAUUGUAACUUUGAUAUCAAACAUUUUUGUAAGGAUGGUGACCUGGGCACCUGAUCAAAAUCUUGACGACCGUGAUGCAUUUAGAAAAAGAAUAGUGUUCUCAACCAGCGGGUGCAAGAGCAUGUUGCACCCUGACUCUUCAACGUCCAUCUUAACCGUGAUCCGAGCAAGCGGGAGGAAGAGCCUGUUGCACCAACUUACUCUUCAACAUCCAUCAUCAUAGAGAUGGAUGUUGUGUAAAGUGCACGGGGUGGUCCAAUCAAAUAUGAACGAUGCUGAAAAUACUUUUUAAAAAAAGGGCACGGUUUAAAGUUCAAUACAUUUUUUUUUUCAUAUUCAUUAUCAUCUUUUUUCAUAUUUAUGAUCAGCUUGGCUUAGAUGACG
rnacentral:lncRNA from 1 species